AUAACAUUUUAUUAUUUUUGCAUGGGAUAUUGAUGUCACCCUUUAAUUGUCCUUGAAAAAGCGGUGGUAAGACACUUUGUUGAACUGUUGCAGUCCAUUUAGUUUUGAUUUUUCUGUCAUAAUUUGAUACAAAUGAGUGGCUUUCUGGGCCAUUUUGCAGGUCUAUAAAGAGUCAUGUACUUUGCUGUGGGUCUGGAGUGACAUGCAAGUGAGGUAAGAUAAAACGGUACAUUUCCCUCCCUGAAGGAUAUUGGUAAACCAAAUGUGUCAUUAUGACCAUCAACAACUUUUCAAAUCCAGAUUUUAUUCAUAGAAUUUAAAUUCCAUCAGCUAGCAUUGUGGAAUUAACCCAUUCCCCGCAAAACAUGAAGCCUAGCCUUUGAAUUAUUGAUUCAUCAGCAUUAAUGGAACUCCACUGCCUUCCACAUGAUUCCCAGAGCUGGUGAAGGCAGGAUUCCACCACCCCACCCACCCCCCGACUGCUCAGCUAACAAAUAGGGUAACCACCUCAAUGUUAAAUCCCAGUCCAUAAACUGGCUUCACUUCUCAGUCUGCAAGGCUGUUUAUGUAUUUGACAUUUCCAACAUCGGAACAAGUGAAAGCAGAAUGAAAGCUGUCUGUAAAUAGGACAGAGCAAGUUACUGCAAGCUGGGUUCAUAGCCAGAGACAAAUUGUUUUGUUUAUCUAUGAAUGUAAAUGAUGGAUAGGUAUGGCUUGCUAUUAUCAGCCUGUUGGAACACGAUAGCUGUGAUUGAAAACCCCACAAAAGCAUAGAUUCUGCUUAAACAACCUGGUACAGUAUCUCAUGUCAUGAACACAGUUAUGCAAUCGCUGUGACGCACGAAAAUAAGAGUUGCUGGUAAUAUUGGCUAAAAAUAUUUGGAAUUGAGAAAAUCAACUAAGAGGUCAGGGAAUCCUUGCUGUUUGUUAAGCUAUAGUACAAUAGAUCUUUUUAUCAUAUCAUCACAUUUAUCAUUCCAUAGGCAGCUCACGGCCGUUGGAGGUAUAUGGCCCACACAUUGCCAAAUUCCUCUCCCUUUGUUCAAGACGAAAGGUGCCACAUUGAAAAAAACUCAAAAAUAAAUGAGGGUAUUGCAAAUUCAAUGAAGGUAAGCUAAGAUUCCGUAUCAACCCCUGGUGCCAAGAAUUCAAUCAAGGCCACCAUCCCUUGGACUAGAUAAGAGGCUCUUAUUCCUCAUCUUGGAAUCACUUUAACUAGGACAAUAAUUUCUGUCAGGAGUCUUUCCUUGGCCUGCUGCUGUUUACAAUGCCAUGCCAAUGCCAUGAAACCAUCCCACACAUCCCUCAACCUUACCCUCUAUUCCAUCCCAUGCCACUAUCCAUCACCAGAAGGCAUCGAGGUAUGGGAUUUUGCAUCUGGAUUGGGAAGGUGAGGUUUGGAGAUGUUGGUUUAAGUGCUUGAUAUCUUUGGAAUUACUCACAGGUUCAUUUAGGUCCUUGGUGUAUCCCAGAAGUAAUUGAGGGAAUACUUGAUACCACUAAUUAAUGACUCAGAGGCUUGGUCACAUGGAUUCAGUCCAGCUAGUCAUAUUGAGCAAUGAACAAGGACAUGGUUAAAGCAAAAUUAAUAAAUGCCAAUAGUGAUUGAUUAUAUGAUUCUGGUUCACAAUAAGAGAAAAUGGCUACAGAAAAACUAAUGUCACUGAUGUGAUCUGAGAUGACAUUCAUUAACAGAAACUGGGCCGUGUAUUAGGUGAGCAAUAAAGUCAUCAAUUUAUUGAUCAACUUUCAAUUAAACAGUGUAGAAUUGCUUACAAAAAAAACAUAGAUGUGAUCAGAACAAUUCAAUAAGUGCCAAACGGGAAGAACUCUCCUUAGCAGUUAUUUAACGAGUCUCAAUGCAUUAUUUUUCCCUAAAUGAUGGGUGGUAGUAAUUGGCUAACUCUCGGUCACACACUCACACUGCACUGGGCCAGUUGAUAGUGGGACAGUGUGCACAGCUGAUGUGGAGAAGCAAAUCAUCUGAAGUCUCACCUCCUGUGGGGAUAGAAUAGAGGGGUCCAAUCCUAAAUAAGCAUCUGAAGAAGACAACCGAAGAGCAGCAUA